GAUGAACGCUAGCUACAGGCUUAACACAUGCAAGUCGAGGGGCAGCGCAGUGUAGCAAUACAUGGGCGGCGACCGGCGCACGGGUGCGUAACGCGUAUCCAACCUUCCCGUUACUCAGGGAUAGCCUUCCGAAAGGGAGAUUAAUACCUGAUGGUGUUUGAAUUCCGCAUGUUAUUCAAACUAAAGAUUUAUCGGUAACGGAUGGGGAUGCGUGACAUUAGAUAGUAGGCGGGGUAACGGCCCACCUAGUCUACGAUGUCUAGGGGUUCUGAGAGGAAGGUCCCCCACACUGGAACUGAGACACGGUCCAGACUCCUACGGGAGGCAGCAGUGAGGAAUAUUGGUCAAUGGUCGGAAGACUGAACCAGCCAAGUAGCGUGAAGGAUGAAGGUUCUAUGGAUUGUAAACUUCUUUUAUACGGGAAUAAAACCGCCUACGUGUAGGUGCUUGUAUGUACCGUAUGAAUAAGCAUCGGCUAACUCCGUG
rnacentral:rRNA from 1 species